rnacentral:pre_miRNA from 1 species
AGUGGGAUAACUGGGUCAAAUGGUGGUUCAACAAGUUUUGUGAGGAAUGUCCACACUGCUUUCCAUAAUGGUUGUACCAAUUUAUAGUCCCACAGCAAU